GUGCCUGGAGGGAUACAAAUUUGGUCCUCUUUCACCAUCGUCCUUUGGAUAAUACCAUUGCUACAGAAGAAUAAUAUUGUAAGCAGAGAUAGGAAGAUACACGUCUUCAUUAUCGAGAACCGCUACGCGAAUGCCGAGUUAUUGUCCUGGUAGAUAGCUUUCACUUGACCACAAUACGGUACUUCAAUCCUCGGAGAAAAAGGAAAGCAUUCGUGCGUGUAGCUUGAAAAAGGACGGAGC
rnacentral:misc_RNA from 1 species